GCCAGUCUGGCCGAGUGGUUAAGGCGAUGGGAGCGGCUCGCCCUGCGAGGACUGCUGACUUACCAGAAGGAUCGUAGCUGGCUGAUGCCGCGAAAAUUUACCAUUGGGGCAAUCCCGCGCGGGUUCGAAUCCCGCGGCUGGCG